GCCUGCAAACGGAGUUCAAUCAUUAAACCGAGUUCAGUAAUCAUCAAAAUGCUUGCUCAAGGAAUUUUCUACCACCUGCAGUUUGUGGUGCCCCUAAAAGAAGAUUCAGGCCUUACGAACCAGCCGUAGCCAAGAACUCUAAUGACACCGACGUCCGUCAAGCAAGGAAGGCACAGAUCAAGAGAGAUGAAGCUAUCGGGCGAGCAUUACCUGUUGCUGUUGUGCUUGGAGUUGCAGGAUUGCCUGGUCUAUACUUCUAUCUCAACAAUGUCUACUAGUCUGUUUAUGCAGGAGCAGCUCCUAGUUUGAGCCAGAAGCAAUUCACUGGAGAACUCCCGAACCUCUUUUUCCUGGUCCAAUUAGAGGUCCUGUGUUAUCGAAUCUCUUUACCUGCACAAAUGGUCAAAAGCAUUGUGCUUCUACAUUUAAGAUUUUGUUUGUCAAAACAGUGAGAUAAGGAAGUGAUGGUAAUAGUUGUUUUGUAAAGGCAAAACUGUUCAGAUGCAGCCAUGAAUCAGUAUAUAUUGGUAUGUCCAGCUUACAAUA